rnacentral:lncRNA from 1 species
UUAAGAAAUUAUGUCGUCUUCUUGAGGGGUGUACAAAAUGGGGAGUUUAAUAAUAAUCCUCUGAAACGUGAAAUGAAUUACUUAGUGUCUACUGCAAGCCAGGCUCUUGCGGACACAAGGCUGUUUGGGGACAACAGUCUAACCUUCAAAAGAUGUGUAAGAGUGUUCUGUUGGGAAUGGCAGCUGGCAGAGCAGCAUAUAUAAGAUGGUUAUGUUCACAUUUUUUAAAGUGUGUGUAUCCUUUAUAACUAUGUUUUUGUACCUAGAAAAAUAUGUAAAUUUAUACCUAGAAAAUAUCUGAAAGGUUAUGUAUUAAACUGUUAAUGGGGUGGAUUGGUGGCUUAUAGGGUAGGGGGCUAGGCAUUUUCACUUUUAAUACCUGUAUUUUUUUUGAGGAUUUGUUUUACUUGGGUGUCACAUUCAUAAUUUUUAAUCCUUUAGAAAAUUUUACAUUAUAUCCUCUUAUAAGGCACUUGGAAAUUCACCCUUUUUUUUUUUCGGCUUGGCUUUCUAAAUGUACUUUAACAUCAAUUUAUAAUAUUAAGAGUUCCUAAGGAGAGAGAUUUCUUAGAAGAAUAAUCGUGGCUUGUCUUAGAGCCACAGGCUUUCACAAUCUGAAGUGAAUGGUGCAGAGAGCUUUCUUGUCAAGUCGUAUGUUUCUUCCUGCAACUCAGCUUGCCCUUCCCCUGCUUGUGCCGUGUACCCUGUAACACUAUGUUUGGAUUCCAGCAUCAGAUGGUGAGUUCUACUUUUGGUUUGUAAAAUCAUGUGGGAUUGUGUUUGGAAACUGCCUUUCAGGUGAAGUUCUUUUUGCUGGCCUCCAGAUAAUUAGUAACUUACUGAUGUAUUGCUUGGACCCUUGCAUUGUGUAAUAUAUGCUUCUGUUAAUAUGUGAAUGUCCAUGAAGGUUGGUUGGUAUAUAGGUCAGGAGCACCUGGCUUUUAAGGAGUCUUGUAAUUACUGUAUCGCCUGCUUUAAGUAGAAACAUGGAAGCUCAAUUAAGCACCAGAAAUUUCUUCUGAAGCUCCUACUUUUAAUGAGUUAGCACUGUUGCCUGGAUUUAUGAAUGGGCAGAUUUUGAAAAUGAGGUUCUUCAUUGUCAUCGUGGAAUUGAGUUCUGCUUAUUUUCAGACAUGCAGCUGAUAAAUCUCUCCUUAAUGAUUCCAGAAGGAAAAGGAAGGGAUGGAGUUUAGAGUUUUUUAUUUCUUUUGUCAAGGUAGUUUUAUUUUCUAGUUCAGGUACAUCAGUGAGUAAUAGUAGAGAUACAUUCUUGGCUGUUUUAGGAGAGUUAAGAGAACAUUUCAUUUAAAUGUAAAUGUUUAAAAUCAAAGAAAUGUUCCUGCAUAUGUACAGUUUUUACCUUUAAUCUUGUUUAACUGAUUUUUCUAGUCUUCAAGGAAAACUAUUUGAUUUUCACAUCUAUGAUGAGAGAAAACAGAAAAAUUGUCAAGAGUAAGAAUUGAUUUGACAUUACUUUUGAGAGUUAUCUGCUUCUUUUGCAAGUCAUAAUUUUUCAUUUUAUAGCUUUUAUACUAGGCACCUCAUUUUUCAAUGAUUUGUUUUGGUUCCAGGAUGUUGCCUUCCUGGAGAAACUGAUUAAAGAUGAUAUAGAGCGAGGAAGACUGCCCCUGUUGCUUGUCGCAAAUGCAGGUAGGUAGCAUGAUGCUGAAUCUACCAUUUUGAAUAUAUAGGAGCGAGGCUACGUCCUCAGCCUAUAAAAGAUAAAGUCUUAAUAUACUUUUUCAUUUAGAUUGUAAAUGCUUCUCUAUCUUCUCCUUCAUGUACUUCUUUUCCCUGUUCUAAACUGAAUUUUAUUUUAUUUUUUUGAGACAGAGUCUCACUCUGUUGCCCNAGCUGGAGUGCAGUAGCACAAUCUCACCUCACUGCAAUCUCUGCCUCCNNNNNNNNNNUCUCUGCCUCCCAGGUUCAAGUGUUUCUCCUGUCUCAACCUCCUGAAUUGCUGGGAUUACAGG